rnacentral:rRNA from 1 species
AUUGAACGCUGGCGGCAGGCCUAACACAUGCAAGUCGAACGAGUGGCGGACGGGUGAGUAAUGUCUGGGAACAUGCCUGAUGGAAGGAGAUAACUACUGGAAACGGUAGCUAAUAACGCAUACCAUCGGAUGUGCCCAGAUGGGUGUAGCUAGUAGGUGGGGUAAAGGCUCACCUAGGCGACGUGCCCUAGCUGGUCGGAGAGGAGGACCAGCCACACUGUAACGUAGACACGGCCCAGACGCCUACGGGAGGCAGCAGUGGGGAAUGUUGGACAAUGGGCGCAAGCCUGAUGCAGCCAUGCCGCGUGUAUGAAGAAGGCAUUCGGGUUGUAAAGUUCUUUCAGCGGGGAGGCGUUACCCGCAGAAGAAGCACCGGCUAACUCCGUGCCAGCAGCCGCGGUAAUAC